GAUGAACGCUAGCGGCAGGCUUAACACAUGCAAGUCGCACGAGAAAGGGCUUCGGCCCCGGUAAAGUGGCGCACGGGUGAGUAACACGUGGGCAACCUGCCCAACCCUGGGGGAUAACCUGCCGAAAGGCGGGCUAAUACCGCGUACGAGGGCUCGACUUCGGUCGGGGUCUGAAAGCAGGCCUCUGUAUCCAAGCUUGUGGGGUUGGAUGGGCCCGCGCUCCAUCAGCUAGUUGGUGAGGUAACGGCUCACCAAGGCUACGACGGAUAGCUGGUCUGAGAGGAUGAUCAGCCACACUGGAACUGAGACACGGUCCAGACUCCUACGGGAGGCAGCAGUGGGGAAUCUUGCGCAAUGGACGAAAGUCUGACGCAGCGACGCCGCGUGGGUGACGAAGGCCUUCGGGUUGUAAAGCCCUGUGGGGUGAGACGAACAGCUGGGAUUCGAAUAGGGUCUUGGUCUGACGGUAUCACCUUAGCAAGUACCGGCUAACUCUGUGCCAGCAGCCGCGGUAACAC
rnacentral:rRNA from 1 species